GACGAACGCUGGCGGCGUGCCUAAUACAUGCAAGUUGAGCGAUGAAGCUUGGUGCUUGCACCAAUUUGAAGAGCAGCGAACGGGUGAGUAACGCGUGGGGAAUCUGCCUUUGAGCGGGGGACAACAUUUGGAAACGAAUGCUAAUACCGCAUAACAACUUUAAACAUAAGUUUUAAGUUUGAAAGGUGCAAUUGCAUCACUCAAAGAUGAUCCCGCGUUGUAUUAGCUAGUUGGUGAGGUAAAGGCUCACCAAGGCGAUGAUACAUAGCCGACCUGAGAGGGUGAUCGGCCACAUUGGGACUGAGACACGGCCCAAACUCCUACGGGAGGCAGCAGUAGGGAAUCUUCGGCAAUGGACGAAAGUCUGACCGAGCAACGCCGCGUGAGUGAAGAAGGUUUUCGGAUCGUAAAACUCUGUUGGUAGAGAAGAACGUUGGUGAGAGUGGAAAGCUCAUCAAGUGACGGUAACUACCCAGAAAGGGACGGCUAACUACGUG
rnacentral:rRNA from 1 species